rnacentral:pre_miRNA from 1 species
CUACUACUCUCUCCGUUCGGAAUUACUCGUCCAAGAAAUGAAUGUAUCUAGAUGUAUUUUAGUUGUAGAUACAUCCACUUUUGUGACAAGUAAUUCCAAACGGAGGGAGUAGAUU